GCGGUGGCGAGCUCGGGGUGGUUCGGGGAGGACCGGAGGUAGCAGAUCGACGAGGCGGAGCAGACGUCCCUGGUCGAAGAGGAGGGGUCCAUGGCGGCGGCUCCGGGGCGCUCCAGCUCGAGCCGGUUGCCGUGGAGGUAGAGGACGUCAAGGCGCAGCUCCUGGGUGCCUUCGGGCGAGACGGGGUGGUGCCGGAGCGUGUCACGACGAGGCGGCGUUGACGGCUGCGUACGGGUGCCUCUCCAGAUCGGGGAGGAGAGUGAAGGGGAAGAAGUGGAUAGGAUAGGGUUCGACAGCGGCAUUAGGUACGGUCUUAUCCUCCAAAGAAGACAGAGGGGAGGAGUUGGGCUAUGCCGGUCCGGUGGACUAGGCUAGCAACUGUUCAUAUACUGGGCUAAAGUGCAUAGUAGUUAGGUUCCUUCUUUUGUUUUUGUUUGAUUUUGUUUAUUUUCCUUUUACGGUUUUUAUUUUAUUUCCCAACUUAUUUUGGUUUGUAAAAUAUAUAGUUAACACCCAAUUUUGCAUUACCAAAUAUACCUCUGCCAGAAUAACUUUGGCACCUAAUUAAGAUAGUUUCAUAAUUAUUUAUUAUUUUAAAAGUAUUUAAAUAACAGUUUUUGCUAUUGUUUUAUUCCUUUUAGAGUAUUUAAACAUUUUAUAAAAGUGUGGUUACUCCUCCAUAAUUACCUAUGCAUUAUUUGGCUCUCUCCAAACAUUUUAGUUUUAAGAUUUGAAAACUUUUAUUGUUUGCUUGAUUUUGAAUUUGAAUUCGAACUAGUUUCGAACUAAUGUGAGAUUAGCAACAGUAAUCGAUGUGACAUGGCAUCAUUAGCAGAGGUUCGUUGUAGCUUAAAUAUCCGGGCGUCACAAUUCUCCUCCACUACAAGAAAUCUCGUCCCGAGAUUUAAGAGGGAAGUAAAGGGGGAAGGUUUGGGUUACGAAAUUCUAGGGAGUGUUCUUGGUCUUGGUUGUUCUUCUUAAAGAGGUUGAUCCAUUACAUUGAUGUCUUCAUUUCGCUGUUUCAGGUUAUCAUGAUGAAGUUGUCGUCCUUUCUUCGGGAACUCCAUCGUACUUACGAAUAGGUAAGUGGCAGCUUUACAACAAUUGAAUGUUAUAAGGGAAAAUCAUCUUGGGGGGUAUCCCAAGAAUGAUCAUAAGAGUAUCUCUAGAGUUGAACAAAUGAAACACGUCGAGAGCAAAGUCAGAAGGUACCAUAAGAAGUUUGAAGCGGAUAGACAAUCGUCGUUGCCUGAAACAACGCGUGAAAGGGGUUCAAGACAAUGGGAACAGGUAUUGUGUUUAAUACCAGAAUUGAUCACUAGGAAUGUGGCUCGUGAAUUGCAUACGAAGCCAAGCGCGAGGAUUAACUAUGGAAAUAGGGUGUACAGGAGAGUCAGGUUUUGAUCCUGUGGAACUGUGGGUUAUGGGCCCACCAAGUGGGUUAAAAGUAGGAAGGGCGGUGACAUCUUGCACGAUCAUGUAAGCAAGGCAUGUCAGAGGAUAGUCUGUCGGUUAUGUCGGCAACAACGUCGGUACCAAGGGCGAGGGACGAAAGGAAUCAUUUUCCUGCUUGUUGGACGAGGCGGGCCAAUAGGCAACGUUCUCGUCCAUCGGCGGUUACUGGAAUGUCAUCAAUAGUAGAAACAGGGUCUCGCUGACAGAGUUGUACACCAAGGUGUUUACAUAAGCAGGAGAAUAUUACUGCUUAGAUCAUAUAGAUCACAAGAAACGUUAAACCAACCAAUGGAAAGGAAAAAUAUGAUUAUCAGAUUAAACAGAACAAUGGAAAGGAAAAUGUGUUUAAACACAUUUUUCAAGGGUAUAUCCUUCCCAAGGACAAGAAGUGCAUGAUAUCCAUGAUAGGAUAUAAUGUAGAAAACUCCUUAGGUAGGGGAGAAAAAUUUCACGACAUUACCCAUACAGCGGUGUUUGGAUAAUUGAGCAGGAAACAUUUAGCAUUGGGCUUCAAAUGUUCUUGUUAAAAAUCGGAGUACCAUGGACAUGCUUUGAGAUAGCAUUACAUGGUCAUCAGGUGAAGAUCAGACUUUGGAAACACAAAGGAUCCAUCAGGAAUAACUUUUAGAAUAAGUCUUACAAUUUCCUCAUGGAAGAAUGGAUAACCUUCCUGAAAAGGAAUCUAUAACAAUAGGGCCUCCGGCCAGGUGUUCUAGGCACGACAUCACCUUAUAGGGUCACAUAAAGACCAAUGUUAUAACUCUUGGAAAUAUGUUCCAACCAUCAUAUCUGACCGAGAUUCAGAUCUGAUUGGUGUCAGGAUACCUCAGACUCAGGAUCCUGAGAUAAAAAGGUGCGACAUGAGUUGACGAGAAGACAUCAUAAGAUUCUCGGGAAAUGAACUAUGGAAGUGAGUUCUGGAACAAGAGUUCAUCAGUAAGCCAAGGAGAGGAUGAUGAGGUGGCUAAUGGACUCAACGACAAACCAUCGAGAUUUCCAAAGGAUGGAUUUCCACAAUUAAGUGAACAAGGAGAUAACAUUAGUCAGAUCAAAUGAUAUAACGAUGUAUGCUCGAGGAAAACAUACACAAUUUAACAAUGAUAGAAGGGUGCACCCGGAAAUCUGGACUAGGUAGCACGAUCAAUGUUUGAAUGAUGAUUCAAUAAGCAAUAGACUUAGAAUGAAACUAUCGACCAUUAACUUCAAAGCAAUAGGGUUGCCAGAAGGGCAGAAUCCAGACAGUACCGUUCACUUGUAGGUGUCCCGGUUAGAAUCGACACGGGGACCAAGAAUAGAAUGGUGAUGGCAAUAAGUAUCACUUGUAUCAAGAAUUCUUAAGAGGUGGUGCAAUUCUCGCUACAUUCUUGACAUAAAAGACAGUAAUACUUCAAGGUAAAACAGAACAUGAGCUAGAUGGCGAGGAGCUCAAGGUAUAACACAAAACACGAACAAGUUUGUGUUGAACGAAAAGCAAUAAAGUGGUCGAUGAUAACACAAAUCACCGAGAGCAAAGGGUGGUAUUUCUCAUCAAGAAUUCGAUAGAUAUCUUGGAAGAGCUCAGAAUGUUGAUGAUGUUCACGACACAUUUGUCGCGAGAUUUCAUGAAGAUGUAAUCGAUUGGCGAUGACAUCAAGUCAAAUGAAUGAUGGAGCGAAAGGUUAUUGAAAACACUAGUACAGUAGAAACUUGAAAUCAAGCUUGCUGUCCAAGGCAAAAUGAUAUGCCGAGGAAGAUCGAUGUAAGCUUAGCUCAUUGCCGAAAGUGGUGCUCCGGGAAUUAAGGACCAAGUAGCAUAGUUAAAAUCAGCACGAUACUGUAUAGCUGAUCAGGCUAGGAGUGACGUGAUGGAGUAUUAAACAUCUCGACAACAAAGUACUGGGAGUAAUGAAUCUUAGUAUUGAUUGGAUUCACAAAUUGGUGUUCUCGGUUGAUGACAACCCAAAACCCAGGAAAAUUGGAAGCGGUGAGAAAUAACAGUUGAUGACGAACCCAUAAGAAGUUAUGCAGUUCCAUGAUAUUCUCAAGAUACCAGAGUGUAAUACUCGACGGUAGAUCAAAGUCAAGGUUGGACUGGGGUAUUGACCCACAAAAGACAAAUGCUUAAACUUGCCCGAGAAAUGGGAUCGAAGGAGAACAAUAUGGUCGGAACCAUAGCUGCAAGGGAUCCAAUUUAAUGACACCGAAAGAAUUAUCCAAAUGAUUAAAUAUUUUGCAAGAAGCUUCCAUGAUAAGUUCCACAUCGGGUCCAUGGGCAUGAACACAAAGUUCAAGGUCGACUCCCACUUCUUUAAUGCAUGACCUUUCAUUCACUUCUCGUCUUCAAAGAAGUUGUAUGGUAGAAAAUUAUCUAGUAAAACACCAGGAGGGUAUGACUUAUGAAACCCUUGAGGUUCAUACGGUUUUUGGGAAGGUAUAGCUUCAACCCAUUAGGGCAUCUUAGAAACAUAUACCACAAAUUUUAGGAGUAAUUAUCAACAGCUCAAAAGCAAAGCAUGGUUUGGCCAAAUCAGAGAAUAGGAUUUAUCAAUGGAAUUAUGUAUCAGUGAAAGAACUUCUCGAGGUUUUGUAUACAAAGGACACUGUCGGAUCAUAAUUCAACAAAGGAUCCGACGAUCCAUAAUGGAGCUGAUGUGAGCAUCGACACACAAUCAGAGGAAGAAACAAUACAAAUGUAUUGGAUUAUAGAAACAACUGACUAAUUCAAAGCUCAAUGUAAAGAAUCAUGAUUUCUGAUUCAAGGGAUCAAAAGCAAACGCUCUGAUUAAGGAUGGGUAAUCUGAAUAGACUUAGGGUUACAAUCGAUGACAAUUUAUUUGGUCGAUAAACAGAUCAUGUUCAAAAUGACAUCUCAGCCGGAAAGAUAAUUUUAAAAGAAUCAACCGAUGAUUGCGUGCAUUCGCACUCAUGUUGAAUCAAUAGGAUCAAAAUGAAGGUGUCAAAGGAGACUAAUGAAUGUUGCUAGACCUAUGGUAAGCAUCCAUAGUGCAAGCAGACAAGUAUAUGUAGAGCAAUAGUUUUAAAGAGGAUUCUCGAAUGAUCGGAUAGAAUUUCAAAGUAUCAUAUGAAACAUAUGAACAACUGGGGAUGGAUGAAUACUCGAUAAGUGCGAGUAAUUAUUUGCAGGGGUAUUCAUGUGGUAAAGAACUGCAAGGCAGUAGACACAAGGUAUUCUCAUAUCACUAGAGAGCAAGAUCAGCUGGGGAUAAAAGUAAGAACGACGGGUGUAUGUAUUUAUCCAUAGGGAUAUUUUAGUGGUACGGAAUUGCAAAAGCAACAGGCACAAAGUCUCGAGAGAACAUCAGAGUGUAUCUUUGGAAUCCUUCGGUGCACCAAGCAAUCAUCUGGAGUGAGGGGCUCUCUGGGAGAAAGUAGUUACGAGAACAUAGUGUUAGAGUUAGCAAAAAUCAUUUAACCCGAGUAGAAGAGAGAUCAGAAUCCCAGAGUAUAGACGAGGAAUAAAAGAUCUAAUACCACCCAAUGGCGAUGUGGGCCCGUAAGCCGCACAUCCAAGUUAGUAAAAAGCUUUACAAUGUCUAGACUCAACUUCGGCCAAGGAGUGUGGAAGGGGAUUCCUACAGGAAGUCGGCUCGGAUACCAACUUGUGACGCCCCCGAUUCAAUUGUACACUAAUCAUGCACGCAAACGUGUACGAUCAAGAUCAGGGACUCACAAAGAUAUCACAACACAACUCUAAAACAUAAAUAAGUCAUGCAAGCAUCAUAAUACAAGCCAGGGGCCUCGAGGGCUCGAAUACAAGUGCUCGAUCAUAGACAAGUCAGCAGAAGCAAUAAUAUCUGAGUACAGACAUAAGUUAAACAAGUUGCCAUAAGAUGGCUAGCACAAACUAGGAUACAGAUCGAAAGAGGCGCAGGCCUCCUACCUGGGAUCCUCCUAAACUACUCCUGGUCGUCAUCAGCGGCCUACACGUAGUAGUAGGCACCUCCAGUGUAGUAGGAGUCGUCGUCGGCGGUGGCGUCUGGCUCCUAGGCUCCGGCAUCUGUUUGCGACAACCAGGUAGAAUGGAAAGGGGGAAAAGAGGGAGAAAAGCAACCGUGAGUACUCAUCCAAAGUACUCGCAAGCAAGGAUCUACACUACAUAUGCAUGGGUAUAUGUGUAAAGAGGCAAUAUGGGUGGACUGAAUUGCAGAAUGCCAGAAUAAGAGGGUAAAGCUAGUCCUAUCAAAGACUACGCUUCUGGCAGCAUCCGUCUUGCAGCAUGUAGAAGAGAGUAGAUUGAAGUCCUCCAAGUAGCAUCGCAUAGCAUAAUCCUACCCAGCGAUCCUCCCCUCGUCGCCCUGUGGAAAAGCGAUAAUCGGAUUGUCUGCGGAACUUGUCUGGGUGUGUUUUAUUAAGUAUCUGGUUCUAGUUGUCAUAAGGUCAAGGUACAACUCCGGGUCGUCCUUUUACCGAGGGACACAGCUAUUUGAAUAGAUAAACUUCCCUGCAGGGGUGCACCACAUAACCCAACACGCUCGAUCCCAUUUGGCCGGACACACUUUCCUGGAUCAUGCCCGACCUCGAAAGAUCAACAUGUCGCAGCCCCACCUAGGCCUAACAGAGAGGUCAGCACGCUGGUCUAACUCCUAUGGCGCAGGGGUCUGGGCCCAUCGCCCAUUGCACACCUGCACGUUGCGUACGCAGCCGGAAGCAGACCUAGCCUCCCUAAUACAAGAGCAGGUGUUCCAGUCCAAUCCGGCGUGCGCCGCUCAGUCGCUGACGUCUAGAAGGCUUCGGCUGAUACCACGACGUCGAGUUCCCACAUCUUUCCCGCGUAGUUGGUUAGUGCGUAUAGGCCAGUGGCCAGACUCAGAUCAAAUACCAAGAUCUCGUAAAGCGUGUUAUUAUGAAGCAACCGCGAACGCCGACCAGGGCCAGACCCACCUCUCUCCUAGGUGGCCUCAACCUGCCUUGUCGCUCCGCCACAAAGAUCCACACAGAGGGCCGUCGGGAAAGUAUGUCCUUUUAGCCCCCAAUUCGUGAAUCAACCGCGGAUACUCAACGAGCCAACCCGACUUUAGUCACCAUCUGUAUAGUAUGUAUUUAUAGUAUAUACCCGUGAUCACCUCCCGAGUGAUCACGGCCCGAUAGUAUAGCAAGGCAGACUGACAAGAAUGUAGGGCCACAAAUGAUAAACUAGCAUCCUAUACUAAGUAUUUAGGAUUGCAGGUGAGGUAUCAACAUAUGUAGCAACAAUGUGAGGCUAUGCAUCAAAAUAGGAUUAAUGGAAAGCAGUAACAUGCUACACUACUCUAAUGCAAGCAGUAUAGAGGAGAAUAGGUAAUAUCUGAUGAUCAAGGGGGGGGGGGGCUUGCCUGGUUGCUCUAGCAAGUAGGGGUCAUCAACAACGUAGUCGGUCAGGGCACCAGCAGCGGCAUCGGUCUCGUAGUCUACCGGAGAGAAGAAGGGGAAGAAACAAUGAAUAAAAUGUAAACAAAAGCAUAACGAUGCAAGCCAAAGCAAACAACGGUGUUAGGUGUGCCCUAACGCGGUAGGAGGAGAUACCGACGAAGGGGGAAAUCAUUCGGGAAAGUAUCUCCGGUGUUCCGCGUUUUCGGACAAAUGAACCGGAGGGGGAAAGUUGCGUGUUUGAUAUACUAGAGAUGUGUGGCGGACAAACGGGCUACGUAUUCAGAUUCGUCUCGUCGUUCUGAGCAACUUUCAUGUAUAAAUCUUUUCCAUCCGAGCUAGGUUUAUUUUAUAUUAAUUUUUAAAGCUUUAAAUGAUUUUCUAAAAUUCUGGAGUUAAUUUAAUUCGAAAAUAUAUUAAAUACUAAAUGCUACGGGUACACAGAAGUGUACCCAAAGAUAUGACUAUUUGACUGACAGGUGGGCCCUAUUGACCGCCUAGUCAAUGGUCAACAGUCAACUUGUUGACUGGUCCAACUGUCAUGUGGGGGCCACAUGUCAUAGACUGCUAGUUAAACUAUUUAAAUAACUAGAUUUAUUUAGCGCGGGGACCCAUAUGUCAGUGGGACAAUUUGUUAAACAGAGUUUUAAACGGUUUUAGUUAAUCUACUUAAGUAGUGGGGCCUACUGUCAGCGCCUAAUUAGUGUUAGGAUUAGGGGCAUUAGCACGUAAUCCAACAGGGGCACCCGGCCUGUAUCUAGCGGCAGCAGCAGCCAAAAGCAGCUAGCAGGGGGGCGGCAGCAGGCCGCAUGGGGAGUGGAGGCCGGCGGUGGGCGCAGGGUGUGGUGGCCGGCGGUGGGGGGGUCGCCGCUGGCGAGCGAGCGGCAGGCGGCGGAGAUGGGUGGAGCAGGCGCGGUCGGCCCGAGCAGUGGCGAGCCACAGCCGCUGCUGCGAACGGGGCGGAGGCCACGGCGGCAACAGCCGCAGCGGCCGGUGCGGGUCUGUACUCGCGCUUGGCCGAGGUAGUAGACGCAGCGGUAGGGGGGCAACGAUGCGAGCAGGGGCAGCGGUCCGCGCGUGUGGGCACGACUUCGGUCGACAGGGGGCGGGCCUGGCAAGGCGAAGGCGCACACAAGCGAGGCGACAACAGCCGGAGCAACAGCGACGCGGUGCGUGCUCAUACGGCGACAAAUCCGAGGGGGGAUAGGGGGAAUGGGUGCGGCUCACCGAGGGUAAGGCGGUGGCGAGCUCGGGGUGGUUCGGGGAGGACCGGAGGUAGCAGAUCGACGAGGCAGAGCAGACGUCCCUGGUCGAAGAGGAGGGGUCCAUGGCGGCGGCUCCGGGGCGCUCUAGCUCGAGCCGGUUGCCGUGGAGGUAGAGGACGUCGAGGCGCAUCUCCUGGGUGCCUUCGGGCGGGACGGGGUGGUGCCGGAGCGUGUCAACGACGAGGCGGCGUUGACGACUGCGUACGGGUGCCUCUCCAGAUCGGGGAGGAGAGCGAAGGGGAAGAAGUGGAUAGGAUAGGGUUUGACAGCGGCGUCGGGUACGGUCUUAUCCUCCGCUGGGAGACGGUGGGGAGGCGCGGUAUGGCCGCCUCGUGGCUA
rnacentral:lncRNA from 1 species